UGCCUGGUCCGCAUUGAGUCCGGUCUGUUCCGGAGACUCUGAGCGCGGCCGCGGAGCUGCAGUGGCGGGGAGUGGGGUGCGGAUCUUGUGUUUGCGCACGCAGUCGCCGGCCACCUCAGGCCGGAGCUAGAGAUACGGCUCGGGAUAGGAGGGCCCGGCGGCUCUGAGGCAGGUUCGCCUCGAGCCGCACGGCCCGGAGCAGCGGCUCCGCGGUGGUCCCCGGGGCUUGAGAGGGGUGCGGGCCUGGGAGCCCCUGAGGGCCUGAUUUACGGAACUCCCCCUCCUUCCUCCUUUCUGCCGUUCCCUGCUCUGUGGCGGAUGCGCAGGGAUCAGUAGGGACGGCAGCAGUAGGGCCACUCGGGCCUGCCCCGCUUCCCGCAUUGCCCGGUUUGGCGCGCCGCCUCCGGGCCUUGGCAAAGCCCCAGCGCCCGAUUGUCACUGACCAGUGCUUGGAAGUCCUUUACCGACUGCCCGUCAGCGUCCCGCGGAGAGGAUUUUGCGUCUCCAAAGACGCCCCUCUUCCGAAAACAGGCUCCUCUGUGUUCUCAGUCGGGUAUAUUUUUCUGUCUCCAAACUAGAUUGGCAGCCGUUUUUUGAGAGCAGACAGGGUCUUGCUCUGUUGCCCAGACUGGAGUGCAGUGGCGCCAUCUCAGCUGACUGCAGAUUCAACCUUCUGAGCUCACGAAAUCCUCCCAUCUCAACCUCCUGAGUAGCUGGGACCACAGAGUAAGUUUCAUCGUGGAUUAUGGUUAAAGACAAGUGCUGAUUUGGUUUUCCUACCUGAUCACGAGGCCACUCGAUAGAACUAGUAAGCUAUGCCUUGGGCCUGCAGGAUGGCACCUGACUUGAAGAUAGCACCUGACUUGAAGAUGGCACCUGACUAGCAUUUGGACUGGUUUGCAGGCUGAGCACAGGGUUGCUCCAGGUGGGCCCAAAUGCUGAAGAGCCUCAUGUUAGAGUUUUUCACCUCUGCGAUGGAACUGUGGUGGACUCCAGUAUCAUCAUUCCAGGGAGGCAUAGCCGCACCAACUGUGUUCCCAGGUUUCACAUGGAGAAGGGUUUUAGAAAGUGCAGAUAGCCUUGAAACCAUUGGUUUCCUACCACUGUUUAUUUCAGCAUAACUUUUUUUGUGUGGAAUGCUAGCUCUGGAAGAGCAGAAAUAAAUACAGCUUAAGCUUUGAACCAUA
rnacentral:lncRNA from 1 species